rnacentral:rRNA from 1 species
GACGAACGCUGGCGGCGUGCCUAAUACAUGCAAGUCGAACGCAGUGGGGACGGGUGAGUAACACGUGGGUAACCUCCCAUCAGAGGGGAUAACACUUGGAAACAGGUGCUAAACCGAUACUGCUGGAUGGACCCGCGGUGCAGUAGCUAGUUGGUGAGGUAACGGCUCACCAAGGCCACGAGGCAUAACCGACCUGACAGGGUGAGCGGCCACACUGGCACUGGUCCACGGCCCCGACUCCCACGGUAGGCCGCAGUGGGGAAUCUUCGACAAUGGACGCACGUCUGACCGGGCAACGCCGCGUGAGUGAAGGAGGUUUUCGGAUCGUAAAACUCUGUUGUUAGAGAAGCGGUAUCUAACCAGAAAGCCCCGGGUAACUACGGGCCAGCAGCCGCGGUAAUUC